GGCGGCAUGCCUUACACAUGCAAGUCGAACGGUAACAGGGAGCUUGCUCCGCUGACGAGUGGCGAACGGGUGAGUAAUAUAUCGGAACGUACCUUUGAGUGGGGGAUAACUAGUCGAAAGAUUAGCUAAUACCGCAUACGAUCUACGGAUGAAAGUGGGGGAUCGCAAGACCUCAUGCUCAUAGAGCGGCCGAUAUCUGAUUAGCUAGUUGGUGAGGUAAAGGCUCACCAAGGCUUCGAUCAGUAGCUGGUCUGAGAGGACGACCAGCCACACUGGGACUGAGACACGGCCCAGACUCCUACGGGAGGCAGCAGUGGGGAAUUUUGGACAAUGGGGGCAACCCUGAUCCAGCAAUGCCGCGUGAGUGAAGAAGGCCUUCGGGUUGUAAAGCUCUUUUGUCAGGGAAGAAACGGGAUGUCCUAAUACGAUGUCCUAAUGACGGUACCUGAAGAAUAAGCACCGGCUAACUACGUGCCAGCAGCCGCGGUAAUACGUAGGGUGCAAGCGU
rnacentral:rRNA from 1 species